rnacentral:rRNA from 1 species
GUUUCCUACGGGGGGCAGCAGUAGGGAAUCUUCCACAAUGGACGAAAGUCUGAUGGAGCAACGCCGCGUGAGUGAAGAAGGGUUUCGGCUCGUAAAGCUCUGUUGGUAGUGAAGAAAGAUAGAGGUAGUAACUGGCCUUUAUUUGACGGUAAUUACUUAGAAAGUCACGGCUAACUACGUGCCAGCAGCCGCGGUAAUACGUAGGGGGCAAGCGUUGUCAGGAUUUAUUGGGCGUAAAACG